CAAAUAAUUAACAGUGAUAUAAGAGUGGUAGUAGAAAGGACUUACCUGCGGCAAGGAGGUGUUUGCCGGAUUAUUCAUCGAGGUUGAAGUUGAUGUGGGGCUGCAACUGAAAGUUGGAGGCUUUUGAUGAAGGUGAUGCCACAACACCUCUUUGGACUUAUGGGAGCGCCUUGAAGAUGGAACUUCAAGUUGUUGGAAGCUUGAAGAUGAAGAUCUUCAAGAAAGAAAACAUGAAGAAGGAGACUUGGACAUCAAGAAUGGA